UGUAAAUACCCUCCUUGGGUGUUUCCUCCCUAGACUUGACCGCGCUCAGGCGCGGUUUUUUUUGCCCGGC
rnacentral:sRNA from 20 species